UCCGUGCUGCGCGAAGCUAACGCCGCCGUUCCUGCCGCCGUUAGCACCGCCGGCGUUCCGGCCAUCACCGUCGUUGAGGGAACUCACCGGAGUUGUUAGAGGUUGUCACUGCUCUUUGUGGUUCUGUGUUGAGUUGCGCUGGUAAGCCUUUGCGGCCGGAAAAUUAUGCGGUUGAUCCACUGGAGCUUCUGGCCGCCGCCGGAGCUGUUGCUGGGGCCGGUUCAAAAUCGCAGCUGCUUCGUGUUUUUAUUCCGUGGCUGGGAGCUGAGGUUUUGGUUGCCGGUGAUUACGAGUUGAGGCAGAAAGGACUCUAUGAGACGUUUGGGUUAUGAAUUUGCGUUUUGAGGUAGGGACACUUUUCGAAAAUUUUAUUUUAUAUGUUGGAAUUAUUACAUAUGGAUACUGUUGUGAGACAAUUUUGUAUUUGGUGAUUGUA